AACGCGAAGAACCUUACCUACCCUUGACAUGCCUGGAAUCCUGCAGAGAUGCGGGAGUGCUCGAAAGAGAGCCAGGACACAGGUGCUGCAUGGCCGUCGUCAGCUCGUGUCGUGAGAUGUUGGGUUAAGUCCCGCAACGAGCGCAACCCUUGCCAUUAGUUGCUACGAAAGGGCACUCUAAUGGGACUGCCGGUGACAAACCGGAGGAAGGUGGGGAUGACGUCAGGUCAUCAUGGCCCUUAUGGGUAGGGCUACACACGUCAUACAAUGGCCGGUACAGAGGGCUGCCAACCCGCGAGGGGGAGCCAAUCCCAGAAAACCGGUCGUAGUCCGGAUCGCAGUCUGCAACUCGACUGCGUGAAGUCGGAAUCGCUAGUAAUCGCGGAUCAGCGUGUCGCGGUGAAUACGUUCCCGGGUCUUGUACACACCG
rnacentral:rRNA from 1 species